rnacentral:ribozyme from 13 species
UCGUCUUUUCUUUUCUUUUCUGCUUUUUUCUCACUUCUCUUUUUCUCUUGUUCGUAGCCCCAACACAAAAGAAGGAAAAAAAUGCUGCCAAAUCAAAACAAGUGAAACAGAGCCAAAAUUUGAAAUAAAUUAAAUUAUUUGCAUCACCAAAGAUUAACCUCCAAGGUUAAUAGGGAGCCAAAAGAAAUCUGAAGAUGAAAGGAUC